GGCGUCUCGUCGAGACUGAAUCAGUCACUUCGGUAGAGAGAUGUGCCCUAAAGACUCCUCCGAUUGAGGCUUUCUUUCCCGGAUUUGAACCUAUGAUUUUAACAUAUCACCAUUUGUGUAUUUAAAAGCAACAACAACAACAACAACAACAACAACAACAACAACAACGGGAGGAAUCACAAACACAUCACUCUGAGGCUCCUGUUUUAAGGGAUGAGCUGCAGCAGAAUAAAUGAACCCUGAAGACAGACGGGAUGUAGGCUGUUCUUUCUGAAAGCGUUUUCAGACAACUCUGGAGGACUGGAUCCGCUGGGGAAGGAGCUGCCAUCCACACAGGACCCCCCGUGGUGCUGGAGAAGCAGAACAGCAUCAGAGACAUCAUCCACCCAGACCUCUGCUUCCUGUGGCUGAACAGCAGCUCAGGAGCUUCAGAGAAACAGAGUGUUCAACAGAGACUGAAGCUUCAGAGAAACAGAGUGUUCAACAGAGACUGAAGCUUCAGAGAAACAGAGUGUUCAACAGAGACUGAAGCUUCAGAGAAACAGAGCUGUUCAACAGAGACUGAAGCUUCAGAGAAACAGAGUGUUCAACAGAGACUGAAGCUUCAGAGAAACAGAGUGUUCAACAGAGACUGAAGCUUCAGAGAAACAGAGUGUUCAACAGAGACUGAAGCUUCAGAGAAACAGAGUGUUCAACAGAGGCUG